rnacentral:rRNA from 1 species
AGCGAACGCUGGCGGCAGGCCUAACACAUGCAAGUCGAACGAAGCCUUCGGGCUUAGUGGCGGACGGGUGAGUAACACGUGGGAACGUACCUUUUGGUUCGGAACAACUCAGGGAAACUUGAGCUAAUACCGGAUGAGCCCUUAGGGGGAAAGAUUUAUCGCCGAAAGAGCGGCCCGCGUUAGAUUAGCUAGUUGGUGAGGUAAAGGCUCACCAAGGCAACGAGCUAUAGCUGGUCUGAGAGGAUGAUCAGCGACACUGGGACUGCGACACGCCCCAGACUACUACGGGAGGCAGCAGUGGGGAAUCUUGCGCAAUGGGCGAAAGCCUGACGCAGCCAUGCCGCGUGAAUGAUGAAGGUCUUAGGAUUGUAAAAUUCUUUUACCAGGGACGAUAAUGACGGUACCUGGAGAAAAAGCCCCGGCUAACUUCGUGCCAGCAGCCGCAGUAAAAC